rnacentral:rRNA from 1 species
CUUACCAAGGCUACGAUGGGUAGGGGUCCUGAGAGGGAGAUCCCCCACACUGGUACUGAGACACGGACCAGACUCCUACGGGAGGCAGCAGUGAGGAAUAUUGGACAAUGGGCGCAAGCCUGAUCCAGCCAUGCCGCGUGCAGGAUGACGGUCCUAUGGAUUGUAAACUGCUUUUAUACGAGAAGAAACACUCCUACGUGUAGGAGCUUGACGGUAUCGUAAGAAUAAGGAUCGGCUAACUCCGUGCCAGCAGCCGCGGUAAUACGGAGGAUCCAAGCGUUAUCCGGAAUCAUUGGGUUUAAAGGGUCCGUAGGCGGUUUAAUAAGUCAGUGGUGAAAGCCCAUCGCUCAACGGUGGAACGGCCAUUGAUACUGUUAAACUUGAAUUAUUAGGAAGUAACUAGAAUAUGUAGUGUAGCGGUGAAAUGCUUAGAGAUUACAUGGAAUACCAAUUGCGAAGGCAGGUUACUACUAAUUGAUUGACGCUGAUGGACGAAAGCGUGGGUAGCGAACAGGAUUAGAUACUCUGGUAGUCCACGCCGUAAACGAUGGAUACUAGCUGUUGGGAGCAAUCUCAGUGGCUAAGCGAAAGUGAUAAGUAUCCCACCUGGGGAGUACGUUCGCAAGAAUGAAACUCAAAGGAAUUGACGGGGGCCCGCACAAGCGGUGGAGCAUGUGGUUUAAUUCGAUGAUACGCGAGGAACCUUACCAAGGCUUAAAUGUAGAUUGACCGAUUUGGAAACAGAUCUUUCGCAAGACAAUUUACAAGGUGCUGCAUGGUUGUCGUCAGCUCGUGCCGUGAGGUGUCAGGUUAAGUCCUAUAACGAGCGCAACCCCUGUUGUUAGUUGCCAGCGAGUCAAGUCGGGAACUCUAACAAGACUGCCAGUGCAAACUGUGAGGAAGGUGGGGAUGACGUCAAAUCAUCACGGCCCUUACGCCUUGGGCUACACACGUGCUACAAUGGCCGGUACAGAGAGCAGCCACUGGGCGACCAGGAGCGAAUCUAUAAAACCGGUCACAGUUCGGAUCGGAGUCUGCAACUCGACUCCGUGAAGCCGGAAUCGCUAGUAAUCGGAUAUCAGCCAUGAUCCGGUGAAUGCGUUCCCGGGCCUUGUACACACCGCCCGUCAAGCCAUGGAAGCUGGGGGUGCCUGAAGUCGGUGACCGCAAGGAGCUGCCUAGGGUAAAACUGGUAACUAGGGCUAAGUCGUAACAAGGUA